rnacentral:tRNA from 1 species
GUUGUGGCUCAGUGGUAGAGUGCUCGCCUCACACGUUCAAGAACCUGGGUUCAAUCCUCAGCACGACA